rnacentral:piRNA from 1 species
UGAAUACAUGAAAGAAACUGGACCUCGAC